rnacentral:rRNA from 1 species
UACGGAGGGUGCAAGCGUUAUCCGGAUUCACUGGGUUUAAAGGGUGCGUAGGAGGACUGGUAAGUCAGUGGUGAAAUCCCCGAGCUUAACUUGGGAACUGCCGUUGAUACUAUCAGUCUUGAAUACCGUGGAGGUGAGCGGAAUAUGUCAUGUAGCGGAUGAAAUGCUUAGAGUAUGACAUAGAACAACAAUUGCGAAGGCAGCUCGCUACACGAAUAUUGACUCUGAAGGCACGAAAGCGUGGGGAUCAAACAGGA